GCCUUCAAAAUGAAUUAUCUCACUGCAGUACGACAUCUUUAUUAAGGACUUCCUCUUCAUCCUAUAUGCCUGCCAGAAUUUGUCAUCAUCUAAAAAACUAUCGCGUGACUAAACAUAAAGAUGCAAAGAGAAAGACGAAUUGGGUUGCUUAAAAAAAAUAAAAAUACAUUGGGUACAAAAAAUGUGACUAAUUCUUGUUUAUUUUUAAUGUGGUAUUUGAGGAAAUUCAGUUGCUAAUAGAGUAAGAAUUCCUUUUUAUUACCUGUCACAGUGAAUUCCAGCCCCAUGUCUUCAUCAUAUCUCUAUCUCUAUUAUAUACUUCUGCAGAGAAACACUUGUAGGAAAAAAAAGGCGUUGUAUUUACGUAAUGCUUUUAAUCAUAAAGAAUCCAACAGGACUAAUGGUGUUGAUUCCCUAAGACAGUGAGUGCUCAUUUUGAUGAUCAGCUCAACUUGUACAAGAUGCUUCCCAAGGUUUCCUACUUGGUGGCUGGCACAGCAGAUGUCUACACUGUGCUGCCCAGAGGAGUCUUUUGCAGGAAUUUAGUCUUAUUUCAGAGGUUAAAAAGCAGAAGAAACAAAGAGCCAUCAUGGAAAAGUCAAGAUCACCAGUUUGGGAUAUUCUCAUCUGAAAGACCUCCAGCAUUUAAACAAGUCCAGCAAGCUCUGCAGGGAGAGCAGGGAAGGCUCCUGUCCUGUCACGUGCUGAACUUCAGCAAGGCCACCAGAUUUCUGCCAAGGAAACAAGACCUUCCAUCCAUGCAAACUGAGGAGUACCAGAGAAUCCCACAAACAAACCAGCUAUAUUAUUGAGGAUAAUGGGAAGCUCCAAAAGGAAAUUUCUAUGCUGCUCUAAGUCUGAGCCAAAACACGACUCCUUGCCAACGCUCACAAAAUCCAUGCAUCUAACACUGUGCUAAAUGGGCAGAUCAUUUCCACCAGUGCAGAACUGUGCUUUUCAUCAUUUGAGGAGUGCCAUACAUGUGAUACUCUCUGAGGGAACAGCAGUAUUGGACUUCCUGAAUGGACAGGACCUGUAUUUCUGUCCUGAGGACUUCAGUCACGCAAAAGCCUUUGACAUUCACUUUUCAUGUGAAUACUGUAGUACAAUGAAUCUACUCUGUCAUGCAUCUCAUAAGGAUGCAGGAAUCGUCCUUUCAGAAAGGAAAAAUACAAUAGCCAUUGAUGUAUUCCAAUGUGAACUUUCUAGCUGCCACCCUACUGUGCAGUAAAAUUGGUGUAGUUUCAAACCAAGAGCCAAAGCCAAGAACAGUAACACAGGGUCUUAAUGAACUAACAAAAAGCACUGGAAAGGAAAUAAAUACUACAAUACUCCAUCAGAAACAUUGUGCAGAAAAAUCUCCCCCAGUGCAUGCAGUUGCACUAUAUCAGUGGUAAGUCAAGAUCUGUAUGCCAAUCUAGUUUGAACGUGCUCCAAAGCAGGAGGGCUGUACCAGCAACCCUUUGCCCAUUUACAGCUCCUUUCCCCAGUUACACCCAAACUGCUUAACCUUAGGUACAAUAAAAGGUUCAGCUCCUCUUUUAAAUGUUGCAAUAAAGGUACAAAAGUUCUAUUGACUCAGGUGAGACUGCCCACUAAUGUCCAUUUCCACUGCCUUGGCCAUGUUACAGAACCAGCCCUGAACACACACAGUCCACUGCUAAAAGACAAAAGCACACGUUCCAGAGACCAAGUCCACCCAAGUAAUGAGAGCCUCAACGACAUGCGCUUGGUUGCUAACAGCAUUGCACUCUGCCUCUGGUGUCCUGUUUUGUGCCAAAGACAUUGGAGGCACAGUGGAGGAGCAGGCAGAGGAUGAGGAAGCACAGCGUUUCUUGGAUGAACCAGAUUCUCCAAAGACCUUUCUAGAAGCCUCCUCCUGAUGGGCUGGCAGAGGCAGAUCUCCCGAUAUCUCAGCCCAACACGUACCAUCCACAUCAUCUCUUGCUGUCUGAGAAAACUAAAGGCAAUAAAUUGCCACAAACCAGAUUAUAAUGCAGGCACCCUGGUAUCUGCAAGCUAACCUCUUCACAAAGACUCUAUUCUUGUUCAAAAGGUUCCUCGUUUUGUUAAGUAGGAACAUUUGGUAGAUUGCUGGAAUUGUUUAUCUUUAAUGAGAGCAAGUUUCAAGUAGUAGUAGUAACAGCAGCAUAAUUAGCAUUAUAUAACACACUGCUGUAACUUGAUCAAAGGGGUUUCCUUGGCCAAUUACCAUAUUUAAGUAUUAUUAUUCAUUCUUGAUUCUUAAAAAAAUAAAAGGAAUCUAC
ensembl:lncRNA